ensembl:lncRNA
UGUUGCUUGUCCUUGAAUGUUUUGGGAGGAUGAAUGAGCUCAUAGAUAAGGGAAUCCUUCGACUUCAGAGAAUAUGCUGUGUAAUGUUGAGAAUCCCAGAGGGUUGUGAAAAACAUUGAUGGAAGACUCAAUGAUCCAUCCAGUAAUUAGCAUAAUGGGAGGACCUAAUAUCAUUGUAUAACCAUACUGUAUAAAAAUGUGUGUUUAAGGUUUGGAAGUCAGUUGUUCUGCAGACCAACUCAGCUUUUUUUAAUCUUCAUUUAAGUCUAUUUUGGAUUCACAAGUUCCUGAGUUUUUGCAUCUUUUUUGGCCGGACAUUCUUUGGUUGGGUCACACAAACAACACGUGGCCACAUUGAGAGGGGUACCUCACACAGAUGGCCCAGAUCAUUCCAAGGCCAAACCAAGCCCAGACCUGUGAGAGACUGCCUUGGGUUCAAAAUAAGAAAAUUGGACAGCGACGAUUCCAGCUACACCACACCCAAGGAGAGGUUGGAGGAAUGGAGAGACUGAUGGUUCCAGCUACACCACAGUCAAGGAGAGGUUGGAGGAAUGGAGAGACUGAUGGUUCCAGCUACACCACAGCCAAGGAGAGGGUGGAGGAAUGGAGAGACUGAUGGUUCCAGCUACACCACAGUCAAGGAGAGGGUGGAGGAAUGGAGAGAGGCACGCAGAACAAAGAGGCUUCUACAUCCAUGACUGUAACAGUCAGGAGCCACUUGACUGGACAUGGGGGAAUCACAGAGGAGAGAGG